CAACGUGGGUAACCUGCCCAAGAGAUCGGGAUAACACCCGGAAACAGAUGCUAAUACCGGAUAACAACAGAUGAUGCCUAUCAACUGUUUAAAAGAUGGUUCUGCUAUCACUCUUGGAUGGACCUGCGGUGCAUUAGCUAGUUGGUAGGGUAACGGCCUACCAAGGCGAUGAUGCAUAGCCGAGUUGAGAGACUGAUCGGCCACAUUGGGACUGAGACACGGCCCAAACUCCUACGGGAGGCAGCAGGC
rnacentral:rRNA from 1 species